GGAGAACGUACGUCGCUAAUUGGACCUGAGAUAUCGUCCUGGAGCAUCGCGAUUACAUGUGUCUAUAUACGUAUAAAGGAUGAGACACGUGAUAAGGAGGGUGGACGAUAAACGUGAUUAGUCCUCGGAAUAUCCUGGUUGAAGCACGACCCCGAUGAAGCUUAGGCAAGAUAGAGAGAGAGAGAGAGCUCUCGCAUACUCAGGUGUUCGCUCUCACAGGCCUGGAGAUGUGUUUGACGUUCGCAUUACAGCGAAAACCACUCGUUGUCCUUAACGUUUGCGAUUCAAUCGUGUCGGGAGUGCCGUGUAAAAGUUCGGGCGAUCGUAUAUAAUUAUUCGUAUUUUCGCGAGUGAGUGCUACGAAGGACCAAGAGAGGAUCAAGAGAGGAGGCUGAAGAGGCAUCGGGUGACAGCGGGGCAACUGUGAGAUCAAUGAUGUGUACUACUACAACUCCGCUAUUGCAGGUAUCGAGAAUCGGGACAGCCGCGAGGAUGAUAAUGACGAGGAGGAGGCGAUCGAUCAAGCAGCAAGGAUGAAUUUUUACAGACGCGUCUUCCUCGAUGCGAGGCGACGACAGGCUUCGUUGCUGCUCCUCGGCGUUCCUGGCGACCCUCGUCAUCGGGGUGAGAAACCGACGAGGAUAUUUGGCGGUCGAAUUCACGAGGGUCUCAGACGACGCAGCGUCGGUCACUCCAGAUUCCUAAUGAGCACAGCCAGCUCGCGGAACGAGGCGCCGAGUUUCCCGGACGUCGGCUGCUUCUUCAACAGAAUCGCCCGUAUCGCCGAGAGCUUCUCGUAGCAAGAGAGGCACUUGUGGUACCUGGGGAGGUCAGAGAGGGAAAUGGUUCUUCGAUGAAGUAAAGCUUGGAAUGAAAAUGUUCCAGGUGGAUCACGGAGUUAAGAACAGAAAAUUAUAUACAUCGAAUGAAAUGUCAGGCUCGACGUGGUAUCGCUAUUACAGAGUGACUGCGAACGACAGCUGCUUAGCAGUUUACCUUCUUGUCAUCACCGCCAGUUACCAAGACACGACCAGAUUUGUGGCCUAACGCCAGACAAUUGACAUUUGGCGUAUGGGCAGCAAAUUCCUCUGCAAGAAAAAAAGAAUGGGGACCGAAAGAGCGCUAUAAUUUAGCACUUGGACUCCUGCCUCGCAAAGAAACGACCUUCCUGUCCUCGCUGCGAGACAAAUUCUCGUCGAGCCAGUUAUAACCAUAAUUGGAAAGAAACCGCGAGGAGGUCAGCUCACACGUAUAAACAGAGAGAGAGAGAGAGAGAGAGAUCGUUUAUUCUCGGAGAGGCCGAGUUUCUCGCGACGCGUAGGAGGACUUUCGGGGACAAGGACGUUCGGUUUCCCAGCGGACGACGUUCUUACGGAGCUUCCAGGAUCUCCUCGUGGACGAGGCCAUCUUCGUGCCGCGUGGACUUAUUUGGCAGCGACGACGAUGACAGCUCGGGACUUGGACCUGGAUUGACGCGCGUCGUGCGAUCUCCUCUGGCGCGGACGUGACAUGUUUAUCAGCAGCGGCGGCUCUCUUCCUCUGCUCUCGCGCACUCCUCCAAGUACUACCCUCUUCCUUUCGCGACCGGACACCGCGACGCGUGGCGUCGCGUCGCGUCGUCGCUCCCCUCCUCGGGAGCGAGAACGUGUGGAGAAAAAAACGUGACGUGACGUGUGCUCACGAGCGCGGAAAAUGAUCCCCGAGAUGAUGAUCGCCUCUCUCGCUCAAGAAACUGCCACCUCCUCCUCUUCGUUAUCGUCGUAUCUCAUCUCUUCAAUCUCUCACUAUCUUUUUCUCUCUCUUCCUCUAUGCCAGUGCAUUUGCAUUGGAGAGCGAAUAG